rnacentral:rRNA from 1 species
UACAGAGGGGGCAAGCGUUGCUCGGAAUUACUGGGCGUAAAGGGCGCGUAGGCGGCCUGCUAAGUCGAACGUGAAAUCCCCGGGCUCAACCCGGGAACUGCGUCCGAUACUGGCAGGCUUGAAUCCGGGAGAGGGAUGUGGAAUUCCAGGUGUAGCGGUGAAAUGCGUAGAUAUCUGGAGGAACACCGGUGGCGAAGGCGGCAUCCUGGACCGGCAUUGACGCUGAGGCGCGAAAGCGUGGGGAGCAAACAGG